AGGGACAGGCACCUGACCCAUAUUUGGACAAUAAUUUUCUCCUUGGGAAUUUUGAAGAGAUAGAGAUGAGAGAAAAAGAGCUGUCUUAACUCCUCUCCAGCUGAUUGGUCCAAUAACAUACAACGCUUGGGUGCUCUUGGCAGCCAUGUUUCCCUCACUGUGCAGAAGCCAAAAGCAGAAGAAGCUGGUCGGAUGAGAGAGAAAGAAAGAUGAGGAGACUCCCGGUGGCAUCUGAAUUUCUGGUUCCACUCCAUUCCUGAGGCCAGGCUAUAAUCUAGUUCCUGGUCUCUGAGACAUGUCCCUGUAGUGUUGUAAUUAAGUUUCCCUUUCUUGCUUAAACUAGUUUAGGUAGAUUUUUUGUUAUUUACAACCCAAAGAGCUAAGGAAUAGUAUGAACUUUCUUACCAGAUGCAUUUGUUCAUUCAAGAAAUAUUUUUGGAGCAACUGCUAUGUUCCAGGUAUGUGCAAGGUGCUGGAAAUUCAAUGAUGAUCAGGAUAGACGUGGUAUCUAUCCUCAGGGACUUUGUACUAGAUGGGUAAAAGGCCAGGGCAGGGCAGACAUGGAACAAAUGUUUGAUAUAUACGAAGAUAGAACAGAUUUAUGAGAACAUAGAACAAGGUUAUGAGAACUGACAAGCUGAAGACUGAAGGACUGGCCAGGAAGUGGUGGAAGGAGGUAGGAAUUAGGCCGUGGAGGAGGGAGAGCAUCCCAGGCAAGAGAAGAGUGUGCGCGAUGAUAACGCCAUCGUGAAGCCAGCAUCCUCUGGAGAGAAAGCAACACUUCAGGUGGAGCUCCAGCAGUAAUUUUUCAUCCAUGAGGUGAUCUUAAGGAUUGAAGUCACAUGCUAAGGAUGGCAGAGCAGAAGACAGAAGGCGCCCAGCUUCUAGGAUCUUGCAAAGUCCCCAUAUCAGCCUGGUCUGCCUGAAGACAGUUUACCAUGUGAUGCUGCUUGCCCUGGACCCUUGAAUAGCAGCGACCUAGGAGAUCUUUCCAGGUGCUGGGGAAAGAAAUGAUGAGAGAGGAGAAAGGGAAGCUGAAAGCAGAGAGGAGAGAAUUUCUGAAAAUGGGAAACGAAGUUAUUUAGCAGCUCUACCCUCAAGCAGGUUAGUAACUUAAUUAAUAAAAGCCAGGGCCUGUGCAUACACUAUUUAUUUGAUUCUUAAAACUUUAUAUAAGAAGAAUUAUCAUCUUUAUUCUACAGUUGAGAAAAUAAGUGGAAGCUCAGAGAAGUUAAGGGACGUACCCAAAGUCACACAGCAGGUCAGCGGCAGGGUUAGGAUUAGGACCUAGGCGUUUCAGAGGCCAGAGCUGUAGUUCUUUCGAGGCUCCCUGCUGAAAUUCCAGGGGGAAGCUUCGUCGUUUUGCCGAAUUAUUCCUCCUCACCCCGGAAAUGCUGGUCAGGAGAGGAGGACUAGGCUGCCCGGGGAACCAGGCCCACCUGUGUUGAAUCUGUUUGGCUCCGCUCUCAUCUGUCCAAAAGGCUUUCUGUGGCUGCGAGCUUUGUUUUCAGACACUGGGGCCCCAGGACUGGGAAGUGGGAGGGGUGCUGAUGGGAUGUUUACAAGUUCUAUCGGACAGUUUCCACUUUGUAAACUCAGUCUCCUGUCUGCAGGUUGUGUGUUCCAGAGCAGCCUGGGCUGCUGGCCUCCUGGGAGGUGGGAGGCGUUCCUGCUCCGGCUCUGACCUGGGACCUGCACCCUCUCCCUGGAUGCCUGAGGCCUUCCAGGGACCCCUAAAACCUGACAGUUUGGGCCAGCAAUUGGCAAACUGGCAAGUGCCGGGUCCCAGUGAGGCCCCUGGUUUCCUCCCCAAAUAGGAAGUAAAUGGGCAUUUUGUGUCCCCACUCAGGCAGAGCCUCUGGAUGGCCUCCCCCCACCGGUGCUUCCCCGACUCCCAGGGCUCUGGCAUAAAUCGGAGCCAUUUCCUUCUCCGGUUUCCCACCUGUGACUAGCCUUUGUCUAAUUUCACCACUGUGGGGACCAGGGGAGGGUUCCUUGGACAAUAAAUCUUUCAUCGGGAAGGUGGUUUUAUCAUUUGAAAGGAUGAUGUUAAAGAAAGAGAGGACAUAAGUGACUAAUGUGCUCAGGGGAUGGUGAAAAGGAAGAGCUCAGGGUGACCAGAAAGGGGUCAGGCUGGUAUGGCAGAGCAGGGCUGAGGAGGAGCGGGUGGAGAGAAUCAGGGAGGCACAUCAGGAAUGCCAGUCCGACACCUGACUGCAGAAAAGGGGCAAAGAGCUUCCUGGUUAGAAGAGAAACCAGGACCCGUGGUGUGGCUCCCUCUCCUCUCCAGAGCACAGGCUGUGGUCUGCUUUGACGUCAGCUCCCGGAUGCACCCAGGUUAUUGGACACGUUGCUUUCAGAUCUGGGCCAGCUGGGGAGGGAAGGGGCAGUGGGGGCAGCCCUCUCACUGAAGGAUGCCCAGAGGUACCUGGUGUGGAACAUCUGCAGGGUGAGCCAAGAUCAUCCUCCAGCCUUCAUCCCUUCAGGGAUGUUUCCCAACCCAGGCUCCCACUCCUGGCUCGUUUCUGAGACGGCAUCGGCAUUCCCAGGGCACUGAUGGCCAAAGCCACCAGGGGGCUGCCACAUGGAAUGGUGUUGGUAUCCCAGGUCACCCUCACUCUGGCUGAUCGGGCCCUAGAAGCAGAGGAAAUCCAAGAAAACCCUCGCUGGAGCCUAUGGACUCUACUGUCUCCCAGCCACCACUAUCUUUGGGACCAUCCUGCUCCAAAUGGUUGACAAUACUUGCUGCCUCCACUUUCUGGAUUCCCAUUCUCCCAGAACUCUACAGUCUAGCUUCUGCCCCACCCCACCCCACUGAAACUGCUCCUACCAAUGGUGUCAACAGCCUGACACCAAAUCCAGGGGUCACUUCCCAGUUUUUACUUUUUCUCUGAGCCAUCUGCCUGCUGAUUAUAAUCCUUUCUUCUCAAAAAUCUCAGUUCUAGGGGUUCUUAACCAGGGAUCCAUGAGUCCCUAGAUAGUCUUCAGGAAGAAACAAAAUGCAGUCCCUGAAACUGUUACACAAAGUGCUAUGCAAAUGUGCAUUUUCCUAGGGAGGCUGGUCCAAGGGCAUUCAUUGGAGUCUCAAAGGGAUCAUUGAUGUGCCCAAAUGCUAAGAACCGGUGCCCUUGAAACCUGUACUGGCCAGGAUUAGGUUCUUCUGGGAGUGGUCCGAGAUAGCAGCGGCUGAUUUGUCUUUCAUGGGUACAGAGGUAAGUCAUCAGAGCAGGAAUGGCGGCUCUGACCUGCGAAGUCCUCAGGAACUCAGGCUCUUUCUGGUUCUGUCUGCCAACCCCAGAGAGUAGCCUUCAACUUCGUGGUCCAAA
rnacentral:lncRNA from 1 species